GAAUAUGAUACUGUUUAAGAGAAAAUGAAAAGGAUUACAAGUUUUUUAUAGUAUUUGACUUUGUGAUGCUCUAUUAUAGCAAUAUUUAAUUUAGAAAUCUGAGAAAAUAAUUUUUGAAAUUUUCUACAUCUCUUCACAUUUCGAUGUAUCAUGGCAUGUUAGGUUUUAAUGUUGGUGAGUGAGGCAGGAGAAUGGCGUGAACCCGGGAGGCGGAGCCUGCAGUGAGCCGAGAUCGCGCCACUGCACUCCAGCCUGGGCGACAGAGCGAGACUCCGGCUCAA
rnacentral:lncRNA from 10 species